AUAUUUUGACCUCUGAAAAUGAGUGCAAAUAGGUUAUAUGGAAAUAUAGGGAAAAUGGACAAAAAAACAAUUUGAUUGAAUUUUCAAAGCAAAAUAAAUGACAGAAGUUGCUUAUUUUUUCAUAAUGUAAAGCUUGAUGUCUCUAUUUUAUAAAAUUGAAAUAAAAUUUGGGGGUCACCGGCCAUCCAAGAGAUUUUUUUACCUCUGAAAAUGAGUGCAAAUAGGCUAAAUAUAGGGAAAACAGACAUAAAAUAUCUUUGAUUGAAUUUUCAGAGCAAAAUAAAUGACAGAAGUUGCUAAUUUUUUCAAACUGUAAAGCUUGAUGUCUCUAUUUUAUAAAAUUGAAAUAAAAUUUGGGGGUCACCGGCCAUCCAAGAGAUUUUUUGACCUCUGAAAAUGAGUGCAAUUAGGCUGAAUAUAGGGAAAACAGGCAUAAAAUAUCUUACAUUGAAUUUUGAGAGCAAAAUAAAUGACAGAAGUUGCUCAUUUUUUCAUACUGUAAAGCUUGAUGUCUCUAUUUUAUAAAAUUGAAAUAAAAUUUGGGGGUCACCGGCCAUCCAAGAGAUUUUUUGACCUCUGAAAAUGAGUGCAAAUAGGCUAAAUAUAGGGAAAACAGGCAUAAAAAUAUCUUUGAUUGAAUUUUCAGAGCAAAAUAAAUGACAGAAGUUGCUCAUUAUUUCAUAAUGUAAAGUUUGAUGUCUUUAUUUUAUAAGAUUGAAAUAAAAUUUGGGGGUCACCAGCCAUCCAAGAGAUUUUUUGACCUCUGAAAAUGAGUGCAAAUAGGCUAAAUAUAGGGAAAACAGGCAUACAAUAUCUUUGAUUGAAUUUUCAGAGCAAAAUAAAUGACAGAAGUUGCUCAUUAUUUCAUACUGUAAAGUUUGAUCUCUUUAUUUUAUAAGAUUGAAAUAAAAUUUG
rnacentral:lncRNA from 1 species